UGGAAGUCAAGUGUUGUUUAUAUACUAUUUUUAUCAUAAUCAAAAAGGGGGAGAUUGUUAAUUAUAAGUUUCAAUGAUGAAAAAUAAUAUAUUACAUUUGGUGUAGGGUCCCAAAUAAUACAUUGACAAGAUUCAAGAAGCAAUACCGGUCAGAAGUACAUUAAAGAGAAAGAAUCGAUCAUCAACAACGCAAAAGGAAAAACAAUCAAUGAUUAGCAAUGCAAAAGAAAGAAGUAGCGGAAAUAUGGUAAAAAUAAUCAAUUAGUGAUUGACGAAAGCUAAUAAGGAAAGGAAUCGGCGAUGAAAAAUGAAGAAACAUCGGAUAUCUGGAAAGGAUAAUCAAUCAGAGACCGAUGGAAGCUGUUAUUGGUAGAUCACAAAUCAAAGGGAAACGUCAUCACUGAAAAUCAAUAAAGCCAAAAAUCAAAGGAUCCAGCGAAUAUGAUUCAAGUAUCUCAGAGAUAUGCCCAGAAGAUGGAAAGCUUGUCAAGACCAUAAUUCAAGGAAGAUUUACGGGAACUUAACCUUAUUCUUGGAAAGAAUCAAUCUAUUAUUCCUUUCAAAGAUCAACUCCACUGGGUUUGCAAUUUCUCAAGAUUCUUGAAAGCCUUAUGGAAAGUAUAUAUACAAACAUUCUGGAUGUGGAAAACAACAUACUUUGAAUGAACCAUCUAUGUUCUUUUUGUUCUGCUCCAAACAAGCAUUGUAGUUCCUUUGGAUUUGCUGUGUAAUUAGUAAGAGAAAAAAAUGAGAUAAACACUAGUGAGGUUGUAUCAAGAAAAAAGAGACAUAGAGACUAAGCUGUGAUGUAAAGCUACACCAUUCAUUC
rnacentral:lncRNA from 1 species